rnacentral:rRNA from 1 species
GGGUUGUGAGGUUAAGCGACUAAGCGUACACGGUGGAUGCCCUGGCAGUCAGAGGCGAUGAAGGACGUGCUAAUCUGCGAUAAGCGUCGGUAAGGUGAUAUGAACCGUUAUAACCGGCGAUUUCCGAAUGGGGAAACCCAGUGUGAUUCGUCACACUAUCAUUAACUGAAUCCAUAGGUUAAUGAGGCGAACCGGGGGAACUGAAACAUCUAAGUACCCCGAGGAAAAGAAAUCAACCGAGAUUCCCCCAGUAGCGGCGAGCGAACGGGGAGCAGCCCAGAGCCUGAAUCAGUGUGUGUGUUAGUGGAAGCGUCUGGAAAGGCGUGCGAUACAGGGUGACAGCCCCGUACACAAAAAUGCACAUGCUGUGAGCUCGAUGAGUAGGGCGGGACACGUGGUAUCCUGUCUGAAUAUGGGGGGACCAUCCUCCAAGGCUAAAUACUCCUGACUGACCGAUAGUGAACCAGUACCGUGAGGGAAAGGCGAAAAGAACCCCGGCGAGGGGAGUGAAAAAGAACCUGAAACCGUGUACGUACAAGCAGUGGGAGCACGCUUAGGCGUGUGACUGCGUACCUUUUGUAUAAUGGGUCAGCGACUUAUAUUCUGUAGCAAGGUUAACCGAAUAGGGGAGCCGAAGGGAAACCGAGUCUUAACUGGGCGUUAAGUUGCAGGGUAUAGACCCGAAACCCGGUGAUCUAGCCAUGGGCAGGUUGAAGGUUGGGUAACACUAACUGGAGGACCGAACCGACUAAUGUUGAAAAAUUAGCGGAUGACUUGUGGCUGGGGGUGAAAGGCCAAUCAAACCGGGAGAUAGCUGGUUCUCCCCGAAAGCUAUUUAGGUAGCGCCUCGUGAAUUCAUCUCCGGGGGUAGAGCACUGUUUCGGCAAGGGGGUCAUCCCGACUUACCAACCCGAUGCAAACUGCGAAUACCGGAGAAUGUUAUCACGGGAGACACACGGCGGGUGCUAACGUCCGUCGUGAAGAGGGAAACAACCCAGACCGCCAGCUAAGGUCCCAAAGUCAUGGUUAAGUGGGAAACGAUGUGGGAAGGCCCAGACAGCCAGGAUGUUGGCUUAGAAGCAGCCAUCAUUUAAAGAAAGCGUAAUAGCUCACUGGUCGAGUCGGCCUGCGCGGAAGAUGUAACGGGGCUAAACCAUGCACCGAAGCUGCGGCAGCGACGCUUAUGCGUUGUUGGGUAGGGGAGCGUUCUGUAAGCCUGUGAAGGUGUACUGUGAGGUAUGCUGGAGGUAUCAGAAGUGCGAAUGCUGACAUAAGUAACGAUAAAGCGGGUGAAAAGCCCGCUCGCCGGAAGACCAAGGGUUCCUGUCCAACGUUAAUCGGGGCAGGGUGAGUCGACCCCUAAGGCGAGGCCGAAAGGCGUAGUCGAUGGGAAACAGGUUAAUAUUCCUGUACUUGGUGUUACUGCGAAGGGGGGACGGAGAAGGCUAUGUUGGCCGGGCGACGGUUGUCCCGGUUUAAGCGUGUAGGCUGGUUUUCCAGGCAAAUCCGGAAAAUCAAGGCUGAGGCGUGAUGACGAGGCACUACGGUGCUGAAGCAACAAAUGCCCUGCUUCCAGGAAAAGCCUCUAAGCAUCAGGUAACAUCAAAUCGUACCCCAAACCGACACAGGUGGUCAGGUAGAGAAUACCAAGGCGCUUGAGAGAACUCGGGUGAAGGAACUAGGCAAAAUGGUGCCGUAACUUCGGGAGAAGGCACGCUGAUAUGUAGGUGAAGCGACUUGCUCGUGGAGCUGAAAUCAGUCGAAGAUACCAGCUGGCUGCAACUGUUUAUUAAAAACACAGCACUGUGCAAACACGAAAGUGGACGUAUACGGUGUGACGCCUGCCCGGUGCCGGAAGGUUAAUUGAUGGGGUCAGCGCAAGCGAAGCUCUUGAUCGAAGCCCCGGUAAACGGCGGCCGUAACUAUAACGGUCCUAAGGUAGCGAAAUUCCUUGUCGGGUAAGUUCCGACCUGCACGAAUGGCGUAAUGAUGGCCAGGCUGUCUCCACCCGAGACUCAGUGAAAUUGAACUCGCUGUGAAGAUGCAGUGUACCCGCGGCAAGACGGAAAGACCCCGUGAACCUUUACUAUAGCUUGACACUGAACAUUGAGCCUUGAUGUGUAGGAUAGGUGGGAGGCUUGGAAGUGUGGACGCCAGUCUGCAUGGAGCCGACCUUGAAAUACCACCCUUUAAUGUUUGAUGUUCUAACGUGGACCCGUGAUCCGGGUUGCGGACAGUGUCUGGUGGGUAGUUUGACUGGGGCGGUCUCCUCCUAAAGAGUAACGGAGGAGCACGAAGGUUGGCUAAUCCUGGUCGGACAUCAGGAGGUUAGUGCAAUGGCAUAAGCCAGCUUGACUGCGAGCGUGACGGCGCGAGCAGGUGCGAAAGCAGGUCAUAGUGAUCCGGUGGUUCUGAAUGGAAGGGCCAUCGCUCAACGGAUAAAAGGUACUCCGGGGAUAACAGGCUGAUACCGCCCAAGAGUUCAUAUCGACGGCGGUGUUUGGCACCUCGAUGUCGGCUCAUCACAUCCUGGGGCUGAAGUAGGUCCCAAGGGUAUGGCUGUUCGCCAUUUAAAGUGGUACGCGAGCUGGGUUUAGAACGUCGUGAGACAGUUCGGUCCCUAUCUGCCGUGGGCGCUGGAGAACUGAGGGGGGCUGCUCCUAGUACGAGAGGACCGGAGUGGACGCAUCACUGGUGUUCGGGUUGUCAUGCCAAUGGCACUGCCCGGUAGCUAAAUGCGGAAGAGAUAAGUGCUGAAAGCAUCUAAGCACGAAACUUGCCCCGAGAUGAGUUCUCCCUGAGACUUUAAGUCUCCUGAAGGAACGUUGAAGACGACGACGUUGAUAGGCCGGGUGUGUAAGCGCAGCGAUGCGUUGAGCUAACCGGUACUAAUGAACCGUGAGGCUUAACCUUACAACGCCGAAGGUGUUU